UACAGAGGGUGCGAGCGUUGUCCGGAAUUAUUGGGCGUAAAGAGCUCGUAGGCGGUCUGUCACGUCGGCUGUGAAAACCCGAGGCUCAACCUCGGGCCUGCAGUCGAUACGGGCAAACUAGAGUACUGCAGGGGAGACUGGAAUUCCUGGUGUAGCGGUGAAAUGCGCAGAUAUCAGGAGGAACACCGGUGGCGAAGGCGGGUCUCUGGGCAGUAACUGACGCUGAGGAGCGAAAGCGUGGGGAGCGAACAGG
rnacentral:rRNA from 1 species